rnacentral:misc_RNA from 1 species
AACGAUAUUUCGGUUUUAAACGCCCACACGAGUAAUCAAAAUAUGAAUGAAGAACAUACUGAUAUGUAAAAUUUUUGGUAUGUAAUUUUCUAGUAUGUACAUUUAUGUACAUAUAAGAUCACUGCAAUUUAAUUAGAAAAGUAAUUAAUAUAUUUUAUUAAGUACUCUCAAAAAGCGAAAUAACCUUUUUU